rnacentral:misc_RNA from 1 species
UGCAUCCGUUACCAUGGAAACCAUCCUCACAUGGAUAUUGACAAAAGUCCCCCCACCAGCCUGGUGCACACUGACACAAACUCAAGGUCGGAUUGCAUUUAGCACCGUUACGACAAGGACAUUCUAUAAUAUGAAAAGUCACAAACAUUUUACUUACUAAGGUCACAAUCAAAUUUCCUCCUCGAGCACUCCGUUUCACAGGCAUUGUACAAAGACCAACCGAAUAAGGAAAUGACGUCAUACCUGGAUUGGAAAUUGGUUUUUAGAAGAUAUAAAGUCAACGAAUAUGUUUUAAACAAACAAAUGCAAGCUUGUGCGAUCCAGGGGAGUUCUUCUGUAAGACAGCAGAAACUUACGAAUGCGUCGACUGGCAUCAAGUAUGCGAUAGAGUACAACAUUGUCGAGACGGCUCAGACGAAGCUGACUGUGGAAUAAAUGCUUGGGUAUACAUGGUUUUCUUUAUUGUUGUCGGCACCUUCGUCAUCGGCGGAUUAGCAUCGUGCUAUGCCCACUUUUCCUCCACCGAAACACCCACUGGGCAUCCUCGUAGACGUCACCGUAACGCAAACGGCCACGAUGACGUAUCAAGAGGGAACGUUCACUCUAUUGAAUCCCAUUCAGUUGUCUACUUUAAAGAUCCACCACCCCCAUACGACAUAGCUAUUUCCAUGGUGAAGAAUCCACCUAAUUAUGAAGAUUUACAGUUUUCUAUAUCAUCGCCAAUUUGAAACAUGAAAUAUUUAUGAUUUUUUUUUUGUAUAAAAAAAUAUAGGCCUACCUAUAGUAUCUGGAAAUUUUACUUUGCCAGGACACUAUUUUAGUGAACAGUCCCCUAAUAAAGCAGAUAUAGGCGUAUUUGCUUUCACUUGGAUAUGUUAUAAGCCCUAACAUCUAAAAAAGGUCAUUACGGUGCCUAUGUGUUUUUAACGUUUAAUAUAGUCUGCAGAAAUGUAAAUAUCCAUCUUUGACUGGCUAUGAUGCAGCGGUAGCCUAUCUGUCCAGACGCAAUUUUACAGACGAAUCGAUGUCGAUUCAGCUUUAAAUUACCGUAUUUGUCAUCAGUUGAUUGUUUUCUCAUUUUAAGAAAGACUUAAAUACGUCGCCAAAUAUUAAUAUUUAAUUAAUUUAUAUUUAACUUGAUUCUGUUGUUGUUUCUUUGUUUGUACUUUUUCUUCUGUAAUUUGUCAAAGGACCAACCGAGACAAGCUUGCUUCUAGAUUGGUCCUCAUCUAUGCCUUGUUUUAUGUGUAUGUAUAUGGCAAUGGUGAAACAAAGCUUUGAUAAUUUGAUUUGUUUUGAACAGUUAUGUAGUUGGUCGAACUAGAUUCAUAUAAAAUGAGAGUAAAUAAAGGCUGUAUGCUGCCAUGGACACCUCAAA